rnacentral:rRNA from 1 species
UGUGAUUUCAAUUUAAGGGCAAAUGGUGGAUGCCUUGGGACCAAACGCGAUGAAGGACGUGGCGUAGCUGCGAUAAGCUUCGGGGAGGUGUUAGCAACCUUUGAUCCGGAGAUCUCCGAAUUGGAAAACCUAAUCUUGCAAAACAAGAUUAUCGUAAUUGAAGCGAACCCGCUGAAGUAAAACAUUCUAGUAGGCGGAGGAAAAUAGAACAACAGUCAUUCCCUUAGUAGCGGCGAGCGAAGGGGGAGGAGCCUAAACUUGUUUGUGCUUUGCAUAAAUAAGGGUUGUAGGGAAAUAGCUUCUAUUUAAUUAGAGGAAGUUAAAAAUAAUUUAGUUAACUGAAUCUCUCUGGAAAGAGGAACCAUAGACGGUGAAAGUCCGGUAAGUGAAAAUUAAAUUAUGCUUCUUGCUGUUUUUCCUGAGUAGCAUCGAAUCAAGAAGAGUCGAUGUGAAUCUGGCGGGACUACCCGCUAAGGCUAAAUAUAAUUUGGUCACCGAUAGUGAACAAGUACCGUGAGGGAAAGGUGAAAAGCAGCCCGGUGAGGGCGGUGAAAUAGAACCUGAAACCAUUAUGCCCACAAAGAGUCAGAGCUGAAUUUAUUCAGUGAUGGCGUGCUUUUUGCAGAACGAGCCAACGAGUUUCUUUUACUAAUUUGUCUAAGCGCUUAUGGCGUGGAGGCACAGGGAAACCGAGUCUUAAAAGGGCGAAAUAUAAUUAGUGGAGGAAGACCCGAAGCCAGACGAGCUUACCAUGACCAGGAUGAAGCUUUCAGAAAUGAAAGUGGAGGUCCGAACCCGUUGACCGUACAAUAUCUUGGGAUGAGUUGUGGUAAGGAGUGAAAAGCUAAUCGAGUUUGGUAAUAGCUGGUUCUUCCCGAAAUAGUUUUAGGACUAGCCUCUUUGAUAUUUAUCUUCGGAGGUAGAGCACUGGAAGAAAUACCGUGGCUUCGGCUAGGUAUUUUUACCAAACUCCGAAUGCCGAAGAUAUUACAGAGGGAGUCAGACUGUGGGGGCGAAGCUCCAUAGUCGCGAGGGGAACAACCCAGACCAUCAUCUAAGGUCCCUAAAUUUAAACUAAGUGUUAGUAAGGAGGUGAUAUUUCUCAGAUAGCUAGGAGGUUAGCUUAGAAGCAGCUACCCUUUAAAAAGUGCGUAACAGCUUACUAGCUAAGAGAUUUUGCGCCGAAGAUUAACGGGACUAAAGUUUAAUACCGAAGAUAUGGCUUAAAUACAUUUUGUAUUUAGGGGUAGGGAAGCGUCUUUAUUGCAUUGAAGCUAAAUCGUAAGGUUUAGUGGAGCGAUAAGGAGUGAGAAUGUUGGCAUGAGUAACCACAAUUGCAGUGAGAGUCUGCAACACCGUAAACCCAAGGUUUCCUUGGCAAUGGAGAUCAUCCAAGGGUUAGGCGGGCCUUAGGAGAAGCCGAAAGGCGUAUCUGAUGGACAGCCGGUUAAUAUUCCGGCCCUCCAAUAUUUUUCCGUAGGGUGACGCAAUUUAGUAGUUUGGGCAGGUUAUUGGAUUCCUGUCGAAUAUUUAAGGGGUAACCCAAGAAUAGGCGCGAAGCUUGUAGCAAUACAAGUGAAGUCAAAUGAGCAAGUUGUCCAGAAAAACCCGCAGGGUUAAGGAUAUUGGACCCGUACCAGAAACCGACACAGGUGGGUAGGCACAAGUGUGCCAAGGUGAACAAGUGAAAGGUCCUGAAGGAACUAGGCAAAAAAGUGAUCGUAACUUCGGGAUAAGAUCUUCCUUUUGAGUUCAUUGUUUUUACAAUGGGCAUAAAAAGGACGCAGCGAGCGUAUCUCUAGCGACUGUUUAUCAAAAACACAGGUCCCUGCUGAACUCGUAAGAGGAUGUAUAGGGGCUGAGGCCUGACCAGUGCCAGAGUGUUAAAAGUGGUUGUCAUUUCAGCAAUGGGAUGGCUGUCCGCUCCAAGCCUCUGGUGAACGUCCGCGGUAACUCUGACCGUGUUAAAGUAGCGUAAUCCCUUGUCGGGUAAGUUCCGACCCGCAUGAAAGGCUUAACGACUAGAGAACUGUCUCCAGGACUUGCUUGGUGAAAUCGCAAUGGGGGUGAGAAUGCCCCCUACUUGUAGCUAGACAAGAAGACCCCGGGAGCUUUACUAUACCCUGGCAUUGAGUUUUGAUGUUAAAUGCGUAGCAUAGGUGGGAGACUUUGAAGUUGUUCUUUCGGGAACAAUGGAGUCGUCAGUGAAAUACCACUCUUUUAAUGUUAAAAUUCUAACUUUGCUUGUUGCGAAGACAAGCGGAAGACAGUGCUUGGUUGGUAGUUUAAGUGGGGCGCUUUUCUCCCAAAAGGUAACGGAGAAGUUUAAAGGUCAGCUAGCUCCGGAUGGAAAUCGGAGUGGUCCUGUAAAGGGAAAAGCUGGCUUAACUGCAAGACGGAUAUGUCGCGCAGAUGGGAAACCAGAACUUAGUGAACCGACCAUGGUUCGUAGGACCGUGGAAGAUCAUCAGACAAAAGUUACCCCGGGGAUAACAGGCUGGUAGUGCCCGAGAGUCCACAUCAACGGCACUGUUCGGCACCUCGAUGUCGGCUCAUCACAUCCUGGGGCUGUAGAAGGUCCCAAGGGUUUGGCUGUUCGCCAAUUAAAGUGGUUCGUGAGCUGGGUUCAAACCGUCAAAUAUGGCGGCAUUCCUGAGUAAUCGGGAUUGCAAAAUCGACUCAUAUCGGUGAAGUCCUAUCUUGUAACUUAACCUGUCACAUGAUAGGAUAAUACCGAGGGAAGUUGUAAGUUUUAUUUAUGAAGAAAAUAACCAAUUCUCAAAAAGCGUAUAUUGCUGGAUUUUUAGAUGGUGAUGGUAGCGUAUAUGUCAAGUUAACCAAAAAUGAUAGUUAUAAAUAUGGCUAUCAAAUUGCUCCAUAUAUUACUUUUUAUCAAAAAGGAAAUUAUAUUAAUUUUCUAGAAGAAUUAAAAAGUAUCUUAGGGGUAGGUUAUACAAGACUAAGAAAAGAUGGAGUAGCAGAAUAUAUAAUUGGAGAUGAAAAAUCUUUAAUCAUAUUUGCGAAAGAAAUCUUACCUUUCAGCAAGCUAAAAUCUAAGCAAUUAAAGUUACUUUUAAAAAUUUUAAAAUUAAAAGUUAAAAUAAAAAAUGCUAAAAACUUUAUUGAUCUUUGUAAAAAGAUUGAUACAUUUAGAGAAUUGAAUUAUUCUAAGAAAAGGAUUCAAGAUUCCUUAGAGGUUAAAAAGAAUCUCAUAAAGAAAAAUUUAUUAACCCCGUAGAGACUGAGCCUUCGGGCGAGAGUCAUUGUUUUAAACACAAUGGCUAAUAUGUCGAUCCCCUAUAUUAUAUAUAGGGUGGUGGUAUAGUCCAUGCACUUGGUAACAAGUGAACAAACAUGCGUGAGACAGGUUGGUCUAUAUCUACUACAAGCGUUGAGUUUUGAGGAGAGUUGCCCUUUGUACGAGAGGAUCAGGGUGAACUAACCUCUGGUGUAUCAGUUGUCACGCCAGUGGCAUUGCUGAGUAGCUAUGUUAGGAAGGGAUAAGAGCUGAAAGCAUCUAAGCUCGAAGCCCACUCCAAGAUUAGAACUCUUUUCCAGGUUAAAGACUAUGACCUUGAUAGGGCGCAGGUGUAAGCUUCGUGAGGAGUUGAGCCGAGCGCUACUAAUUGGAUUUAAAAAUCUCUUU